rnacentral:other from 1 species
UGACCCCUGCGGUGUGCGUGACAGAAGCCACUUUUGAAAGAACCGAUGAAGUCCCCAUGGGAGGCCAGCCCAGUAUCGGAUCAAACAUGCCUGCGUGACAGGACGUUUGGACGACUGCUGCGGUCACCCACUUGAAAUUACGGGGUUACUUUCAAAGGCAGCUGCACGGCACCAGCGGAGGUCGA